rnacentral:rRNA from 1 species
UACGAAGGGUCCAAGCGUUGUUCGGAAUUACUGGGCGUAAAGCGCGCGUAGGCGGGUUUGUAAGUUGAUUGUGAAAUCCCUGGGCUUAACCCGGGAACUGCAGUCAAUACUGCAAACCUUGAAUGUCUGAGAGGAUGGCGGAAUUCCCGGUGUAGUAGUGAAAUACGUAGAUAUCGGGAAGAACACCUGAGGCGAAGGCGGCUAUCUGGCGGAACAUUGACGCUGAGGCGCGAAAGCGUGGGGAGCAAACAGG